CCUACGGGUGGCUGCAGUGGGGAAUAUUGGACAAUGGGCGAAAGCCUGAUCCAGCCAUGCCGCGUGUGUGAAGAAGGCCUUCGGGUUGUAAAGCACUUUCAGUGGGGAAGAAAGCCUUGGGGCUAAUACCCUCGAGGAAGGACAUCACCCACAGAAGAAGCACCGGCUAACUCCGUGCCAGCAGCCGCGGUAAUACGGAGGGUGCGAGCGUUAAUCGGAAUUACUGGGCGUAAAGCGCGCGUAGGCGGUCUGAUAAGCCGGUUGUGAAAGCCCCGGGCUCAACCUGGGAACGGCAUCCGGAACUGUCAGGCUAGAGUGCAGGAGAGGAAGGUAGAAUUCCCGGUGUAGCGGUGAAAUGCGUAGAGAGCGGGAGGAAUACCAGGUGCGAAGGCGGCCUUCUGGACUGACACUGACGCUGAGGUGCGAAAGCGUGGGUAGCAAACAGGAUUAGAUACCCGAGUAGUC
rnacentral:rRNA from 1 species